rnacentral:rRNA from 1 species
UAGGGAAUCUUCGGCAAUGGACGGAAGUCUGACCGAGCAACGCCGCGUGAGUGAAGAAGGUUUUCGGAUCGUAAAGCUCUGUUGUUAGAGAAGAACGUUGGUAGGAGUGGAAAAUCUACCAAGUGACGGUAACUAACCAGAAAGGGACGGCUAACUACGUGUCAGCAGUCGCGGUAAUACGUAGGUUCCUAGCGAUGUCCGGAUAUAUUGGGCGUAAAGCGAGCGUAGGCGGUUCUUUAAGUCUGAAGUUAAAGGCAGUGGCUUUACCAUUGUACGCUUUGGAAACAAGAGGACUUGAGUGCAGAAGGGGAAAAUGGAAUUCCAUGUGUAGCGAUGUAAUGCGUAGAUAUAUGGAGGAACACCGGUGGCGAAAGCGGCUCUCUGGUCUGUAACAGACGCUGAGUCUCGAAAGCGUAGGUAGCGAACAGG